rnacentral:rRNA from 1 species
CACUCCCGGCACGGGGAGGUAGUGACAAAAAAUAACGAUACGGGACUCAUCCGAGGCCCCGUAAUCGGAAUGAGAACACCCUAAAUCCUUUAACGAUUUAUCGGAGGGCAAGUCUGGUGCCAGCAGCCGCGGUAAUUCCAGCUCCGAUAGCGUAUAUUAAAGUUGUUGCGGUUAAAAAGCUCGUAGUUGGUUCUGCGUGCCACGCUGUCGGUUCACCGCCUGUCGGUGCAACUGGCAUGCCGUGGCAUGUCCUGUCGGUGGCGGAUAGGCUUCGUGGCGUGCCCUGUGCGGUUCGCGCCGUGUAGGCUGCCGCGCCGCGUUGUCCUUGUACGCCGGCUCAAUCCUACCGCGGUGCUCUUUACCGAGUGUCGAGGUAGGCCGACACUGUUUACUUUGAACAAAUUAGAGUGCUCAAAGCAGGCUCUUAAAUCAGCCUGAAUAGUGGUGCAUGGAAUAAUGGAACAGGACCUUGGUUCUAUUUUGUUGGUUUUCGGAAUCCAAGGUAAUGAUCAAUAAGGACAGGCGGGGGCAUUCGUAUUGCGACGUUAGACUUGGCAAAUGCUUUCGCGGUGAAAUUCUUGGAUCGUCGCAAGACGCACUAGAGCGAAAGCAUUUGCCAAGUAUGUCUUAAUUGAUCAAGAACGAAAGUUAGAGGUUCGAAGGCGAUCAGAUACCGCCCUAGUUCUAACCAUAAACGAUGCCAGCCAGCGAUCCGCCGACGUUCCUCCGAUGACUCGGCGGGGAGCUUUCCCCGGGAAACCAAAGCUUUUGGGUUCCGGGGGAAGUAUGGUUGCAAAGCUGAAACUUAAAGGAAUUGACGGAAGGGCACCACAAGGAGUGGAGCCUGCGGCUUAAUUUGACUCAACACGGGAAACCUCACCAGGCCCGGACAUUGGAAGGAUUGACAGAUCGAUAGCUCUUUCUCGAUUCAGUGGGUAGUGG